GACUGCCUAUCGGAGUGAGACUAAGCCAUGCGAGUCAACCCGAAAGGGUGGCGGACGGCUCAGUAACACGUAGUCAACCUGCCCUAGGGACGUGGAAAACGUCGGGAAACUGACGAUAAACCGCGAUAGGUCAUCGCUUCUGGAAUGGGCAAUGGCUCAAACCUACAUGGCCCUAGGAUGGGACUGCGGCCGAUCAGGUCGUUGGUGAGGUAAUGGCUCACCAAGCCUAUGACCGGUACGGGCUCUGAGAGGAGGAGCCCGGAGAUGGACACUGAGACAAGGGUCCAGGUCCUAUGGGACGCAGCAGGCGCGAAACCUUCGCAAUAGGCGAAAGCCUGACGAGGUUACUCCGAGUGUUUCCUGCUAAAGGAAUCUUUUGUCAGCUCUAAAAAUGCUGAUGAAUAAGGGGUGGGCAAGCCUGGUGUCAGCCGCCGCGGUAAUACCAGCACCCCGAGUGGUCAGGAUGAUUAUUUGGCCUAAAGCAUCCGUAGCCGGCCCCGUAAGUCUUCCGUUAAAUCCACCUGCUCAACAGUUGGGCUGCGGGAGAUACUGUGAGGCUAGGAGGCGGGAGAGGCGAGGGGUAUUCCUUGGGUAGGGGUAAAAUCCUCUGAUCCAUGGAGGACCACCAGUGGCGAAGGCGUCUCGCCAGAACGCGCUCGACGGUGAGGGAUGAAAGCCGGGGGAGCAAACCGGAUUAGAUACCCGGGUAGUCCCAGCUGUAAACGAUGUAGGCUCGGUGAUGGGUUGACUUAGAGUUAACCCAGUGCCGCAGGGAAGCCGUUAAGCCUACCGCCCGGGGAGUACCGGUCGCAAGUACUGUAAACUUAAAGGAAUUGGCGGGGGAGCACCACAAGGGGUGAAGCCUGCGGUUUCAAUUGGAGUUCAACCCCCGG
rnacentral:rRNA from 1 species